CCAGGCUGUCCAAAAAGUCUCGGGAUCCAUUGGCAUCCCAGAUUUUCACUCCCUUGGAAGACAGCUCUUUAGCAUUUGUGGAUCCCUGGAAGAGAUGGGGAGAGCAGAGCAGGAAUCCAGUGCAGAUGCAUCAACUCCUGUAUUUGAUCGAGUCACCAAUGGAGUAACUCCAACUAUCAAGGAUUUCCAGGUCCCAGAUGAAGAGAUAAUUCUACUUACUGGAUAUAGGAUGCAUUAGAUCUUCUUACCUUAAAAAAAAAAAGGCAGCAAUGAUCAAAAUACUAAUAAAUUACUUACAGACUCAGUGUAUUUUUUCUUGGAGUAAAAGUCCAGGAUGGUUAGUAGAAUAAAUGCUCUUGGCUUUUGGAAAAAUUGAUACUGUAUAUAGCAAAAUAAUGUGAAACCCAUAUACAUGGAUAUUCUUAACAAUUUGAAGAAAUCUUCACAGUUUUCCUAGGUUGUUGAGCCUCUAGAUGGUCUUUUCCUCUGAUGUGAUAAUAAAGUGUUUAUUCUGUACUCU